GUAUCAAGGUCUCCGUUGGUGAACCAGCGGAGGGAUCAUUAC
rnacentral:rRNA from 1 species